rnacentral:rRNA from 1 species
UGGGGAAUAUUGCACAAUGGAGGGAACUCUGAUGCAGCGACGCCGCGUGAACGAAGAAGGCUUUCGAGUCGUAAAGUUCUUUUAUAUGGGAAGAUAAUGACGGUACCAUAAGAAAAAGCCCCGGCUAACUACGUGCCAGCAGCCGCGGUAAUACGUAGGGUGCGAGCGUUGUCCGGAAUUACUGGGCGUAAAGGGCUCGUAGGUGGUUUGUCGCGUCGUCUGUGAAAUUCCGGGGCUUAACUCCGGGCGUGCAGGCGAUACGGGCAUAACUUGAGUACUGUAGGGGUAACUGGAAUUCCUGGUGUAGCGGUGAAAUGCGCAGAUAUCAGGAGGAACACCGAUGGCGAAGGCAGGUUACUGGGCAGUUACUGACGCUGAGGAGCGAAAGCAUGGGUAGCGAACAGG